AGCCUAAACCUUGCAAAAGGCAUGGUUCCAGACCUCGACAGAUGUAAAGCUCUUCCAAGAGCGCUGUCGAGGCUAUCAAUCGAAAGGUUGAUAGGUGGUGAAAGCCAUC
rnacentral:sRNA from 12 species